UGGGACUCGGCGCACGCCGGGGUUCCGUAACUUACCCUCCGCGCUGCUCUUAACCGAGUGGUUCGGUGGGCCGGCACGUUUACUUUGAACAAAUUUGAGUGCUCAAAGCAGGCCUUACGUUGCCUGGAAACUGUGUGCAUGGAAUAAUGAAAGAGGACCUUGGUUCUAUUUUGUUGGCUUUCUGAACUCGAGGUAAUGAUUAACAGGGACAGACGGGGGCAUUCGUAUUGCGACGUUAGAGGUGAAAUUCUUGGAUCGUCGCAAGACGGACCGAUGCGAAAGCGUUUGCCAAGAAUGUUUUCGCUAAUCAAGAACGAAAGUUAGAGGUUCGAAGGCGAUUAGAUACCGCCCUAGUUCUAACCAUAAACGAUGUCAGCCAGCGAUGCGCCGAUGUUCCUCCGAUGACACGGCGCGCAACUUCCGGGAAACCAAAGCUUUUGGGUUCCGGGGGAAGUAUGGUUGCAAAGCUGAAACUUAAAGGAAUUGACGGAAGGGCACCACCAGGAGUGGAGCCUGCGGCUUAAUUUGACUCAACACGGGAA
rnacentral:rRNA from 1 species